rnacentral:misc_RNA from 1 species
GAAAUGCGAUAAGUAGUGUGAAUUGCAGAAUUCAGUGAAUCAUCGAAUCUUUGAACGCACAUUGCGCCCCUUGGUAUUCCAUGGGGCAUGCCUGUUCGAGCGUCAUUUGUACCCUCAAGCUUUGCUUGGUGUUGGGCGUCUUGUCCUCUUCUGGAGGACUCGCCUCAAAACAAUUGGCAGCCGACCUAUUGGUAUCGGAGCGCAGCACAAGUCGCGCUUCUUUCCAUGAAGGUUGACGUCCAUCAAGACCAUUUUUUUCACUCUUGACCUCGGAUCAGGUAGGGAUACCCGCUGAACUUAA